rnacentral:rRNA from 1 species
AAACCAACUGGGAUUGCCUUAGUAACGGCGAGUGAAGCGGCAAAAGCUCAAAUUUGAAAUCUGGUACCUUUGGUGCCCGAGUUGUAAUUUGGAGAGUACCACUUUGGGACUGUACUUCGCCUAUGUUCCUUGGAACAGGACGUCAUGGAGGGAGAGAAUCCCGUGUGGCGA